AGAAUUGAAAUAUCUUCUUAAUUGCAUACCAACUUGGCUUAGAUGCUCAUCUAUGUUUCUGGAUUCCUGCAUUGUAUUCCACUGAUCUGUUUUUCUAUUCCUGUGACAAAUAUCUGAUGAAGAAACUGAAGUUUCAGGAGCAAGAGUUUCCUGAAGAAUCCUGAGGAAGGGAUGUUAAUGGAAUUCUGGUAUUGUUUGGGAUGGAAAUACGCCCAAAUAAACAACUACAUUUCCCAGACUCCCUUGCAGCUGAAAGUAGCCAUGAGACAUGUUCGGCCAAUGAGAU